GAAGGAGAAGCGUAUAAACAACCCAUCAAACCCCAAAGCUUUUCACCUCUUCCUCCUUCACCUGUCCCUCUGCUAAAACUCCUCAAAACCUUCACAAAUACUCAAUUCAAUACGCACGCGCACACAUAAUACAGUAUUCUCUUAUCAUAAAUCGUUUCGAUUCUGUUCUUCUAUCGCACCAGACAAUCACACACUUCUCCUCACUCUCACACUCCACCGAUCUGUAAUUUCUCACAAAUCAACCAUCUCAUUGCUUCAAAUUGAAGCGACUACGAUGGCGCUCACACAAGCUGACCUACCUACUAUGUAUACGCUCCUCUCCAAUUCACUCAGCGGCGAUGAUAGCCUGCGCAAGCCUGCUGAAGCCGCUCUUUCGCAGUCCGAGAAUCGGCCUGGUUUCUGCUUUUGUCUACUCGAAGUGAUUACGGCCAGUGAUCUGGCGGCUCAGGCAGAUGUUCGUUUGCUUGCAUCAGUGUAUUUUAAGAAUAGUGUUAGCAGAUACUGGAGGACUAGGCGUGAUUCCUCUGGAAUUAGCACUGAGGAGAAACUACAUUUAAGACAAAAACUGCUGUCUCACUUGAGAGAAGAAAAUUACCAGAUUGCUGUUACAUUAGCUGUGCUCAUCUCAAAGAUUGCUCGGAUUGACUAUCCUAAAGAAUGGCCAGAGUUAUUUUCGACUUUGUCCCACCAAAUUCAGUCUGCAGACGUCCUUACUUCACAUAGGAUCUUUAUGAUUCUCUUCAGAACUUUAAAGGAGUUGUCUACGAAACGUCUUGCUGCAGACCAGAGGAAUUUUGCUAAGAUAUCGUCCCAAUUCUUUGAUUAUAGCUGGCAGCUAUGGCAGAGGGAUGCCCAGUCAAUACUGCAUGGUUUCUCUGCAGUUGCUCAAAGUUUAGGUGCAGAUGAUUCAGAGAUGCAUAAUGAUCUUUAUCUAACAUGUCAAAGAUGGUUUCUAUGCUCAAAGAUAAUACGCCAAUUGAUUAUCGCUGGGUUCCCAGGUGACGCAAAAUCUAUGCAGGAGGUUCGACCUGUCAAAGAUGUCUGUCCUUUGUUUUUGAAGGCCAUUGAAUCAUUUCUUCCAUACUAUUCGUCUUUCCAGGACAAGCAUCCUAAGUUUUGGGACUUCUUUAAAAAAUCAUGUGUCAAGUUGAUAAAGAUUUUAAUUACAAUUCAAAAGUGCCAUCCUUAUUCCUUCGGUGAUAAAAGCGUACUCCCACCUGUGACAGACUUCUGCUUGAAUAUGAUCGUAGAUCCUAGACCAGAGCUAAUAUCAUUCGAGCAAUUCCUUAUUCAGUGUAUGUCAAUGGUAAAAACCAUUCUUGAAUGUAAAGAAUACAAGCCAAACUUGACUGGCCGUGUUAUGGGUGAAAAUGGAGUUACAUUUGAGAAGAUGAAAGAGAACAUGUCUAGUCUCGUUGCUGGUGUGGUUUCUUCCCUUCUGCCAAGUGACCGAGUGGUGAUCUUGUGUAAUGUGUUGAUAAGGAGGUAUUUUGUACUUUCAGCAAGUGAUGUGGAGGAAUGGUAUCAGAAUCCAGAGUGCUUUUAUCACGAACAGGAUUCUGUUCUGUGGUCCGAAAAACUGAGGCCAUGUGCUGAAGCACUAUACAUUGUUUUGUUUGAAAAUUAUAGUCAACUCUUAGGUCCUGUUGUGGUCUCUAUUCUUCAAGAGGCAAUGAAUGGGUGUCCCUCUCCAGUAUCUGAAAUCACCCAAGGUUUACUACUCAAAGAUGCUGCUUAUGGUGCUGCUGCAUAUGUGUAUUAUGAACUAUCAAAUUACUUGAGCUUCAAGGACUGGUUUAAUGGUGCAUUAUCACUAGAGUUGUCAAAUGAUCAUCCUAAUAUGCGGAUCAUCCAUAGAAAAGUUGCACUUAUUUUAGGGCAGUGGGUAUCUGAGAUUAAAGAUGAUACCAGAAGAGCGGUGUACUGUGCGUUAAUUAGAUUGCUUCAGGACAGUGAUUUAUGUGUCAGGCUAUCAGCAGCUCGGUCAUUGUACUUUCAUAUUGAAGAUGCAACUUUCUCAGAGCAGGAGUUUUCUGAUCUUCUUCCAGUAUGUUGGGACUCCUGCUUUAAGUUAGUAGAGGAAGUUCAGGAGUUUGACUCCAAGGUUCAAGUUCUUAAUACAAUAUCGGCUUUAAUUGCACAUGGCAAUGGAGUUGCUCCAUAUGCCAAGAAGCUUGUGGAAUUCUUUCAGAAGGCAUGGGAGGAAUCUUCUGGUGAAAACCUUCUGCAGAUUCAACUUCUUACUGCUCUAAAGAACUUUGUUAUUGCACUGGGCUAUCAGUCACCUUUGUGUUACAACAUGCUACUGCCCAUUUUACAAAGUGGACUCAGCGAAAAUAGCCCAGAUGAACUUCUGGAAGACAGCAUGCUGGUUUGGGAAGCCACAAUUUCUCACUCUCCUUCAAUGGUACCUCAGUUGCUAGGUCUCUUCCCACGUCUUGUGGAAAUAUUGAAUAGAAGUUUUGAUCACUUAAAGGUUGCUGCCAAUAUAACUGAGGGAUACAUAAUACUGGGUGGUACUGAGUUUUUGAAUCUUCAUGCAUCUAGUGUUGCCAAACUUCUGGAUUUUGUUAUAGAAAAUAGCAAUGAUAAAGGGUUGCUAUCUCUUCUUCCAACUGUCGACCUUUUAAUUCAGUGUUUCCCUUUGGAGGUACCCCAGUUAAUUAGCAGCACUCUUCAGAAAUUGAUUGUUAUAUGCUUAAUUGGUGGAGAUGAUCAUGAUCCUUCCAAGACAGCCGUGAAAGCAUCUUCAGCAGCCAUUCUGGCAAGGAUUUUGGUAAUGAACACCAACUACCUCGCACAGUUAACAUCACAGCCAGUAUUGUUGGCACUUCUUCAGCAAGCAGGCUUCCCAAUUGAAGAAAACAUACUUCUUUGUCUGGUUGACGUAUGGCUUGACAAGAUUGACAAUGCAACAUUGAUUCAGAGAAAGACAUUGGGUUUGGCACUUUCCAUUAUAUUGACUGUAAGAUCGCCUCAAGUACUUGACAAGCUUGAUCAGAUCUUGAGUGCUUGUACAAGUGUUAUACUGGGUGGAAGCGAAGACAUAAGUGAAGAAGAGUCCAGUAGCGACAAUAUGAGCCCUACCAGACCUCAGUUCCCCAGCAAAGAGUACAGAAAGAGACAGAUCAAACUAUCUGACCCUGUACACCAUUCGUCACUGGAGAACUCUGUGCGAGAAAACCUUCAAACAUGUGCUGCCAUUCAUGGGGAGUCCUUCAAUACCGCAAUUGGUAGGAUGCAUCCUGCAGCUUUUUCUCAAUUGAAGCAGGCUUUAAAUAUGACAUGAGCCAAAGCUGGCUGAUAUACCAGACAAUUGGUGGUAUUGUGUUUUUGUUGUCUUCAAUCUCCAGUGUUUCUGUCAUCGUAUAAAGGACUUCAUAUGGGGAAAAAAAGAAAGACCGACUGCAACACGAUGGACAGAGAGCUAUACAGGAGAUAUGACACCGACAUUUAGCUUGGGAAAAAUGGAUAUAAAAUCAGUUGAACCUGACAAAUCAUUUCAGUUUAGAAUUUGGGUGUUGGUCUUGAUGGACAUGUAUUGGAAGAAAAUGACUUAAAAUAUCAAUGUCGGAGAAGAUGACUGUCAGUUAUUAUUUUGCAAUUCAAAACAAUGGAUUGUAUAACGGUUAUUUUUUAACGUUACGUGAUCUAGUGUUUAAAA